UACAGAGGUCUCUAGCGUUGUUCGGAUUCAUUGGGCGUAAAGGGCGCGUAGGCGGCUCGGUAAGUCGGGGGUGAAAUUUCGGAGCUUAACUCCGAAACUGCAUUCGAUACUGCCGUGCUUGAGGACUGGAGAGGAGACUGGAAUUUACGGUGUAGCGGUGAAAUGCGUAGAGAUCGUAAGGAAGACCAGUGGCGAAGGUGGGUCUCUGGACAGUUCCUGACGCUGAGGCACGAAGGCCAGGGGAGCAAACAGG
rnacentral:rRNA from 1 species